rnacentral:rRNA from 1 species
CCUACGGGUGGCUGCAGUCGAGAAUUUUUCACAAUGGGGGAAACCCUGAUGGAGCGACGCCGCGUGGGGGAUGAAUGGCUUCGGCCCGUAAACCCCUGUCAUUUGCGAUCAAUGCCUGUUGUUUAAGAGAUGACAGGUUGAUAGUAGCGAAAGAGGAAGGGACGGCUAACUCUGUGCCAGCAGCCGCGGUAAUACAGAGGUGCCGAGCGUUGUUCGGAUUCACUGGGCGUAAAGGAGGUAAGUGUGGUGUGAAAGCUCGGAGCUCAACUCCGAAAUGGCAUUGGAAACUACCUUGCUGGAGGGUUGGAGGGGGGACUGGAAUACUUGGUGUAGCAGUGAAAUGCGUAGAUAUCAAGUGGAACACCAGUGGCGAAGGCGAGUCCCUGGACAACACCUGACACUGAGGCACGAAAGCUAGGGGAGCAAACAGGAUUAGAUACCCCGGUAGUC